AGUGAACGCUGGCGGCGUGCUUAACACAUGCAAGUCGAACGAGAACGGGCUAUAGCUUGCUAUAGUUGUCAGCUAAGUGGCGCACGGGUGAGUAAUGUAUAGGUAAUAUGCCUCUUACUAAGGGAUAACAAAUGGAAACGUUUGCUAAUACCUUAUACUCCUUAUUAACAGAAGUUAAUAAGGGAAAGAUUUAUUGGUAAGAGAUUAGCCUGUAUUGUAUCAGUUAGUUGGUGGGGUAAUGGCUUACCAAGACUAUGACACAUAACUGGUUUGAGAGGAUGAUCAGUCACACUGGAACUGAGACACGGUCCAGACUCCUACGGGAGGCAGCAGUGGGGAAUAUUGCACAAUGGACGGAAGUCUGAUGCAGCAACGCCGCGUGGAGGAUGACACAUUUCGGUGCGUAAACUCCUUUUAUAUAAGAAGAUAAUGACGGUAUUAUAUGAAGAAGCACCGGCUAACUCCGUGCCAGCAGCCGCGGUAAUACGGANGGUGCAAGCCGUUAAUCGGAAUCACUGGGCGUAAAGCGCACGUAAGCGGCACGGUCAGUCUGCUGUGAAA
rnacentral:rRNA from 1 species